AGUGAACGCUGGCGGUAGGCCUAACACAUGCAAGUCGAACGGCAGCACAGUAAGAGCUUGCUCUUACGGGUGGCGAGUGGCGGACGGGUGAGGAAUACAUCGGAAUCUACUUUUUCGUGGGGGAUAACGUAGGGAAACUUACGCUAAUACCGCAUACGACCUACGGGUGAAAGCAGGGGAUCUUCGGACCUUGCGCGAUUGAAUGAGCCGAUGUCGGAUUAGCUAGUUGGCGGGGUAAAGGCCCACCAAGGCGACGAUCCGUAGCUGGUCUGAGAGGAUGAUCAGCCACACUGGAACUGAGACACGUUCCAGACUCCUACGGGAGGCAGCAGUGGGGAAUAUUGGACAAUGGGCGCAAGCCUGAUCCAGCCAUACCGCGUGGGUGAAGAAGGCCUUCGGGUUGUAAAGCCCUUUUGUUGGGAAAGAAAAGCAGCAGGUUAAUACCCCGCUGUUCUGACGGUACCCAAAGAAUAAGCACCGGCUAACUUCGU
rnacentral:rRNA from 1 species